rnacentral:lncRNA from 1 species
GGCAAGGUAUGAGUUGAGAAGGAAUCGCGCUUAGGAUUUACCUAUAAUAGCAUCCACCACGCCAGGCGCCAGACGCGCGUCGACGAGCCCUUCCCGUCUGGCAGUCCGCAAACGGUCAGCGGUGUGUACUUCGCGCCCAGAGCUUAUCUAUGUCAUCUUCAUCCAGUCCAACAGAACCCAGGCCAGCGUCUGCAACAGCAGCACACAUAAGCUUCCUCCACUCAUCUGGCGUCAUAGCGUCUCGCAGGUUCUGCUUUAUCUGCGUCGAGCCCAAGUACUAGGUGAACGCGAAAUUAACACAGCUAAAGGUUGAAGUUCGUGUUCUGCUCGUUGCAAUUGCAAGCUCUGACCAGAAAGAAAUUUCGGGAGUCAAGCCGGAAAUUGUUUCCAACCCUGGAGCUGACCGUUAGUACCGCCUUCCAUUUGACAGCACAAAACAAUUUUUCCUUAGGAUUUUAAUACGUUUCAUGGAAUGCUGGCGACCCGCUGAAGCGAAUCUGAAAGGGCGCCACCACAGCUGCUUGUGCGAUGCAUAACUGAAGCCUAAGCGCUCGUUCACCGUACACAGCCAAAGUAGCUGGCGCACGUCAGCGACGAGGGCAGCAUCUAGAGUAUGUACCACUGUUCCCCUUCCUGUGCCGCCCGCUUCACCGCCGACAACGAAGGGCCAAGUACGGUGUGAAGUACGGGUAAUUUACCGGUUCCCAAGAUUUGCAUAAACGCUGGAAUUAUAAUUCGCUGAAUAAGCAAUGGGUGGGUGGGUGGGCUAAUCGAAAGCAAGGAAUCCAAAUGAUUUGCGCAAGCUGUUGCGUAAUGCUCGGGUUCGCGUUUUCAGCCGCGGCUAUGACGAUCUCGCCAAGCUGGGACCCAAGGGUCUGCCAUGCGCCGCCUUUGUGCAUGGGCCAUCUUUAACCUUUGCAGCACCUACAACCUGCUGAUUCGAAAGAAUCCUUAGAAUGUAGCGACAUAUUGCGGGAGUUCUUGGGAGAUUUGCCGGUCAACGGUUAUGGCUCACUUAUCACCAGAUUCUCAUCCGGCAGGGUCAUGCUGAGCCGGAUGCAGUAGCCGUAAAGUAGAACAAAUUGUUGGCGCCGAGUCGCUAUCUGCGAUGGACUGCCGCCAACACCCCGGUUCCCAUUCCCGUCGUGACCCUGCUGCGCGACUUAAAGGGUGUUCUGCCUGCCGUGAAGCCCUUGCAUACACGGCCAUGAGUGCGGGAUUAUCCGCGGAUUCCGGAUAGAUUAUCCGCGCGUGAUCCCCUACACAUCCAGAUUUCUUUCGGGGCUUUCCCCGCCCUCAACCUGGUGCUGCUUGCCGAGUUGCUGCAAGCUGCCAGAUGUAGAUUGCGAAGGUAGACACAGGAGCUUCCAGGAAAUUUGCUUGCCUGGAGAUCUAGAGAAAGUCUACCAAUGCCGUUGNNNNNNNNNNNNNNNNNNNNNNNNNNNNNNNNNNNNNNNNNNNNNNNNNNGUACAUCACAGGCGGUUGACUAUGUUGCAAAUUGUGAGUGCUUUAAUGCUCCAGCUUGAGCUUGCAUGGACCUUGACUUGUGGGAAUCUAGGCAAGGAAAGGGCUUGGGGAGGAAAGGUGCAAGGGUGCUACAUGUGCAGAAGUAAGCUAAAUUGCCGCUACUGUAGGCUUAACCGACCCGCACACUGGCACACCUCGAGGAUGGCAACGUCUUGGAUGGGAUUGAUGCGCACCACCGUUGAGUCCACCAACACCCUGCGGUCCGUGUCGGGGCAGUGCACGGCAAUCUGCGAGCAGAGCAUUGUUGCAUGAAGCUUACAAGCAUUGUGCAAGGCGAGGUGGUAAGAGGGCCAGAGCCAUGCACAGCACAAGAGGCAUGCCUGCCUGCAUGAUUGGUCACGCUAAGAACAGCAGCACUCCGCAGCAGCAGUGCUAUAAUAUGAAUGCCGGGGUGUUGCUAUGUUGAUACACAUGCGCAGUUGCACCAGCAACAGCCCAAGUCAAAUACCAUUCAUAAGGCAGCAGCUCAAGUCAGACUCCAUUCACGAAAAUCGGCAAACUGCCUCAUGUGGAGCUCCUACUCUUAUGAUGCCAUGCACACCUGCAUCUGUUGCCCAAGUGUCCAUUUUCCAUGCCUGCCGUGCGCGAACAUUGCCACGUGGUGCGGCCCAACCACCGUGGCCGCCUCCUUGUACGGCGGAUAGUUGGGGGGCUCCACCACCAGGUGGGCGGCAUACUUGGAAGAGUAACAAGCGCGCGCCCUGAUGGUUGCCGUCACGUCGGUCCCACCUGCUGCACCUGCAUCUAUUGCAAACACAAACAAGCAAACAGAGGUGCUCGUUGGGAGCCCAGUCGCAGGCCCAAAGCAGCGCAGUGAAAUGACGAAAUGUCUAGGAAUGUGCUGAGCUUCCACAAGCAGCUAAGUUUGCAGAUGCAUGCCUGUUUUGAUUGCCAAUGGUAACACAAGCGGGCAAAUGGUAACACAAGCUGGGUGUUCAAGUUAUCAUAUGCUGUCAUCUCAGAAUUCAAUUAUGUAAUACACAGUACCUUUUGAAAUGAAACUUAGCCCGAGAGGCGUUGAUGUGACUUUGAGCUCGGUCAAUUGAGGCAGUCAAAGUUGUCUCUGCUCAUUGAUAGGAGAAGCCCAAAAUCAUAUUCUAGGCUGUACAAAUCCUGGAAGCCCUAAUGCACUGAUUGGUUCAGUAACCCAUGGGUUACCAAUGGGUUACCCACCUUCAACCCCCGGUAGACCUUUGGUAACCCCCUUGUAAGUUCUUAUCCAGCAGGAGGGGUAACACGGCCCCAGGGUAAACCCCUCUGUUGCCCAGGACUAUGGACAUAUGUAUGGGCCUAUAGGCGACUCGCCUUACAUGCUUCCCACAUCGUAAAUUCCGCUUAAGGAUACUAGUAAAAAUGUAAACAUUAGCAACCUACAGUAUCUUGGUAUCUCGGGAAGCAUCAUUUGCCAUUUCAACCUUAAGGUCUCUAAUGAUGGCAUCACACAUGCAAGGAAUAAGCAAUAAGUACCUAUCUCUUGGCCUGUUACGAGAGCUUGUAGAUGAGUACAGGAGAAGGCGUGAAUGCUGGCAGCACAGGUCUUCACUAAAUGGGUGCCUUUGGUUGUCAUCCAUUGUUAUAUAAUAGUUCUCAUUGUGAAAACAUCAGGCAAUCAGUCCUGAGGUUGGCCAACAUAUUACCGGCCAGGGGUGGUCAUACACAUAUGUGCAUGCUGCUUUGCCUCCAUUGAUACUCCUGACAAGCACAUUCAAGCUUAAUCACAGCUAAUUAGCUUGUAAGCUCAUAUAAUGCACACUCUUGGCUGGUCUUAUAAUUAGAUCGACAUGCUAAAAUAAGCGAUGACCACUAUCACCAAUUCAGUCAAUCAUAUUCCUAUUGACCAAACAUACAAUGGACACAUACAAUCCACAUUGCAAUACUGGUGUGUAUGGUGGCAAAAAUGGUGGCAUCCUAGUAUUUGCGUGCAUGGACCACUACAACAAGACUGUUGACUGUCCUUCUGCAGCACAGGCCCACACUUAUGAUGGACCUCAUUUAGCAAGACAUCCAGUGACAUCCGAGGAUUUUUACCGCCUUACACUUUGCCGGGUGUGGCCAUAUUCGGGAUCAAACAUCCGGAUCUCCCACCCAAGACCCUAGACACUCUUAGGAGAGGCUCUCCUAAGAGCCUGCUCUGAAAACGAGCGGACUCUGGAUGUUGCAUAGGUCGUGCAUAGAGCUGGAAUUAGCAGGUCGGGAUGGGGCACUUAAGCUACUGGCCGACCUUACAUUGCUGCCUGUUGGCUGAUCAAUGAGUCUUAGGUCAUGAACUGGUCCAUGAGUCUUAGGUCCGGAGUGGCGGUAGGUGCAUGGAUCUUUUGAUAGGAAUAUUUUGGAUCCUUUGUGUAGCAGCUGACCGCUGAAAAGGUCUCUCGAGUUGCUGGCGGUCGCGCUCUGCGCAUAUUUAUAGCUCUGCGUGUAUUUAUAGCACCAUACUGUGUACCGGCUGCUACAUUCCCCCCCCUUUGAAGGGAACCGUCCCGGGCCCUUUAGAGCCUCGUAUACCGCCAGCCUGUGCCUACCUUCUCCUACCCUCGGGCAGUGGGGUGACCAAGCCCAUGCGCCUAGCCUUCAGAGGUGACCAAUUCACAUGCGCCUAGCCUUCAGGUUUUUCAGGCACAGAGACAGUCCAGUCGGUUCAGCUACUUUUUUUUAUAGUUUUUGUGCGAUAUUCGCUCACUGAGUCGCCACACCCGAAAUACCACUCAAACGUGAUCGGUGGGGGUUGAACCGACGACUUCAGGAUCGUGAAUUUUCACGAGGUCUCGAUACCAAAUGUAGCAGCUGACCGCUGAAAAGGUCUCUGAGUUGCUGGCGGUCGCGCUCUGCAUGUAUUUAUAGCACCGUACUGUGUACCGGCUGCUACACUUUGAUAGGGAUAUUUAUUGGCUUCACUGGUGGCUUCUCGUGGUUCCCAAUUUGCUCUGCAUAUGUACACCUGUUCGUCUGCCUCCUUGCAUCUAGGCUGCAGCUGUGUGCCUUAUCCUUAGGUUUAGGUUUCUGAACAAGGCAUGCUUUGGUGCGGCAAUGUCGAUAAUUGGGCCUUCACAAGUGAUUGGUGAAGACAUGUGCGUUUGUGAGUGUAAACAGGCGACACAGGCGCAGGUGAAUGUAAACAUGGGUCUGUUACCCAUCAGUAGUGUAUUACCCUGACCCCUUUGUUACCCCUCGGUAAGGGGUUACCCCUACCCCGGGGUUAGGUUACCCACCUCCAUACAUAGCCACAUGGGUAACCCCUACCCCUACACCCUGGGUUAUGCCUUGUUUUAUGGGGGGGUUACCCCUUGUUUUAUGCCAUAGGGAAGGAUUGGAGCAAACUUAAUUAGUCUAUUUAAAAUAAAUUUCCAAGCAGCUAAUAUACUUUUGAGAUGUUAACAAAACAUUACUCUAUAACUAAAUGUUAAUGUAAUGACUUCUUCCUAAAUAUAANNNNNNNNNNNNNNNNNNNNNNNNNNNNNNNNNNNNNNNNNNNNNNNNNNGGAUCACGCGAUGACGUUUAAGCAAUGCAUGUUGAUUAAGUGCUCGUCCUGUAGUGUAGUACGGCAAGUGCGGCGCGGGAGGAGCAGACCGGAAUUGGCCAGAGGACAGUGACUGAUACGGUAGUGCGUUACAAAGAUUAGCUGGGAACAAAGCGCUGAAUCCAGACAACGCUAGUUCGCCAGUCAACCGUGCAAGCAAGCGCAAGUCAGAACCCGCCCACCCGCCCGUCGAUGUGUGGGGAGAGGGGAGGAAGACGAGCCACGAUGUGAGCGCCAGGGCCAAGAGGGGCAGCACCAGCAGGAGGCGGAAGCUAGGAUCUGGGACCGGAGCCGCGAGGGACUCGAGUGGGCCGAGAGGCGUCGGUAUAACGCUCCAGGACUUGGGCGCUGCGAAUUUGGGAGAAUGCGUGGAGCUCCGCGCGGGAAGCGCCAGCGGCCUGCGUGGCCUGGAUAGUACCACGACGAAACCCAUGAGGGGUUUGCCCGACGUAGACACCAGCCUCCUCCAGGUGUUUGCCCACGCGCAUGGCUAACGCGCUGCUGGAAAACGGACGCUCCACGAAGCGUUGGUGACCCCGGUCAGUGGGACGGAAGAGGUAGUCGGAGAUUGCAGACCCUGGGGGGGCGUCAGGNGCAUGGCACAGCUGCCAAUAGAGGGCGAGGGUGCGGAGGAAGCAAUGUCGUGGAGAAGGGUCGGGGCGCAGUUCCAAAGGGGGGGCUCGACGCCCCUUGGAGGUUUUGGUCCCGAGUUGUUCGAUCCGUAAGGAAAGCGAGGGGUAGGCACCAAANNNNNNNNNNNNNNNNNNNNNNNNNNNNNNNNNNNNNNNNNNNNNNNNNNCUUGUGUCGUAGACAGUGCUGUGGUGCAAUGUGAUGUGCACCCAGCCGUCUGAACAAGCUGUCCAUAUCCACACCCGCUGACUUCCACCCACCCACGCCGGUGCUCCUAUGCUGCAGACUGCACACUACCAAGCCGCUACCGUGAUGUACGGCCGGUCACCCUACAAAGCCACAAUAAACACGGCCAGGUGCUUCACCAGAAACACCCAAUGAUUGUUUUAGGGGGAGUGUAGUGAAUUAGACGUUCAUCUGUCAGACCUCUCUACUGUUGUCCUUAAGGGAUAUUUGCCAUACUUAUGGAAUCGUGAUUUGGUUCCUUCAUAUGGUGGCGGGAAGCCGCAUUUCUUAGUUGCUUGUAACGGGAAGUGCAGACCAUGCUGCUCCAACCUUAUGUCACAAGCACGCUGCAGGCAUGGGCAACUUACUGAAGCUAAGCAAAAUCAUGUCACACUCACCAGCAACAACGCCAGAGCCAGCCGUAGCCGCAGCUGCACAUAAAGGAGAAACGAUAGGGAUGCACCAUUGACAUCAAUACUUGCUCAAGGGAACAUGUUCAUAGGUUCCAUACAGCUUGCCAACAGUAAGAGAUCUAAACGUUCCGAGGACCAUACAAUACACCAUGCUCCUCAAGUUCACCGAUGCCUAAUUGAGCUGCUGAUUGCUGCUUUCAGGGCGAUAGGCUGCUGGAGAUGAAGGUGUGCUCAGAGGUCAUUCAUGUUGAGAGAUAAGACACCAAUGCUAGCUUCAUACAAUAGAUAACGCACCGUUCCAAAGCGGCUGUGACUUUAGGUGUCUUCAUCAUUGAAGCAGAUCAACCGUCACGGCAAGCCCUCGUUAUGCGUGUUUUGGUUACGAUACCAGGUAUAGGACAGAAGCAAUCCCUAAUGCAAAAUAUUUUCCCGACACGCUAUUUGGCAGGGUCCGCGCCGCAGCCUCAGAUGUACCCCAAAAACAACCGGCCUAAUGGCCAACCCCGUUCAAUGUGUGCGCACACAGGUUGCUUAAGUUGGUUUUGUCUUCAAAUUGAGAGCGACCAAUAGUAGCCGGAGCACACGCAACGCGGACUCUUCGGCAAGGUAUGAGUUGAGAAGGAAUCGCGCUUAGGAUUUACCUAUAAUAGCAUCCACCACGCCAGGCGCCAGACGCGCGUCGACGAGCCCUUCCCGUCUGGCAGUCCGCAAACGGUCAGCGGUGUUGUACUUCGCUGCCCAGAGCUUAUCUAUGUCAUCUUCAUCCAGUCCAACAGAACCCAGGCCAGCGUCUGCAACAGCAGCACACAUAAGCUUCCUCCACUCAUCUGGCGUCAUAGCGUCUCGCAGGUUCUGCUUUAUCUGCGUCGAGCCCAAGUACUAGGUGAACGCGAAAUUAACACAGCUAAAGGUUGAAGUUCGUGUUCUGCUCGUUGCAAUUGCAAGCUCUGACCAGAAAGAAAUUUCGGGAGUCAAGCCGGAAAUUGUUUCCAACCCUGGAGCUGACCGUUAGUACCGCCUUCCAUUUGACAGCACAAAACAAUUUUUCCUUAGGAUUUUAAUACGUUUCAUGGAAUGCUGGCGACCCGCUGAAGCGAAUCUGAAAGGGCGCCACCACAGCUGCUUGUGC